UACGGAGGGAGCUAGCGUUGUUCGGAAUUACUGGGCGUAAAGCGCGUGUAGGCGGCCUUGCAAGUCGGAUGUGAAAGCCCACGGCUCAACCGUGGAAGUGCAUCCGAAACUGCAUAGCUUGAGUCUCGGAGAGGAAGGUGGAAUGCUUGGUGUAGAGGUGAAAUUCGUAGAUAUCAAGCAGAACACCUGCGGCGAAGGCGGCCUUCUGGACGAUGACUGACGCUGAGACGCGAAAGCGUGGGGAGCAAACAGG
rnacentral:rRNA from 1 species